rnacentral:rRNA from 1 species
UACGAAGGGGGCUAGCGUUGCUCGGAAUUACUGGGCGUAAAGCGCACGUAGGCGGCUUUCUAAGUCGGGGGUGAAAUCCUGGAGCUCGACUCCAGAACUGCCUUCGAUACUGGAGAGCUCGAGUCCGGGAGAGGUGAGUGGAACUGCGAGUGUAGAGGUGAAAUUCGUAGAUAUUCGCAAGAACACCAGUGGCGAAGGCGGCUCACUGGCCCGGUACUGACGCUGAGGUGCGAAAGCGUGGGGAGCAAACAGG